UAUAGCAGCAGUAGUGAAUACAUCUUCUGCAUAUCCACUUUUCAUACCCAAACAAUUUUAAGUCUUCAUUUUCAAUUUAUUAUAAGUACUGUUAGCUAGAUUUAUUACUCUUUUGUUUGCCAUUUUACGUUACUGAAGUUGGUCAUUGGUACUGCUGUUAUUGUCAGUCCAGCGUUUAAAGCCCCGGUAGGUUGCAGGUGAAAUAACUGACUUCAGUACAAUUUCCUUAUUUGAAUCUUCCAAGUUGGAAAAGAAAGUCUGUAAAUGCUGUAUGCUGGAAGAAGGCUAUAUAGAUUGUUUUUUUAAAAGCACAAAACUACAUUUUACCAUCCAUUGGCGAACAGUUAAGAUUGCCUAACAAAUAAGAGAUAUUGGGAAGUUAAUUUUAACCCUAGUGAUGACGACUGCGCUAGCAUCUUUUCUAAAUUCAGUUUACUUUCUACACAUGUAAACCAUGGAACGUCGCAUUCUACAGAUUAUUCAGGUAAUACUACAUUAGUUAAUAUACAAUAUAGUAUGAAUUAUACUUUAUUAAUCUGGUGUCAUUUUGGUUAACAAAAGGCCUGGUUGGCGUUUAUAGCUCCACUUAGUUUCGCUGAUUUUGCCACCAAAAUUUAUAGAGAACAUUAAUUUGUACUUCCAAAUUAAUUAUUAAUAUUUAAAACGUUGAUUUUUAAAACCGAGUCUUUAAUAAGUAAAGGAAUUAAAACUGCUACUGCAGCCAGACGCUCAGAAUACUUUGCAGUGAAGCGGGUCGCCUAUACCAAGGACGAACACUCGCCAGAGGCAUUUAUAUGUAUUUUAAAUUGAAAUUAUCAUGAUACCGAUGUUACAGUACGAGUCGA